UAUUGUUAUAGUAAAUUAAAAAUAAUAAUUUUUCAUCUUCUCUAGCAGAAGAAAAGAAUUUCAAGAGGAUCAGAUCAGUUAUCGGGUCGGGGUUACCCGAAUCGGACAUUCUCCAAGCCCUCUCCCAUUGUGGAAACAACCUUGAUUAUCGUCAACUUCAUUCUUGAUGAUCAUGUCACAGUCAAACGCAUCAUCACCAUCACCAGUUCCCUGAUUUCAACUCAGGUCAUCAAGCAACGAGGUUAGUGGCAACCGGAAGAACCCAGGUUACCGUGUAAAAGAAGAAGCCGAAACGGGGAUUGAGAACGAGGCCUGUGUACAAGAAGAAAUGGGUCUCGAUAGUGAAAACCAAUUAUUUCCCAAAACAGAUGAGCCAAGCAUCACAAUGAAGGAGGAGACCAAAGAACGGAGAUCGUUGUGAAAGAGGGGCUAUUAAUCAUGUACAAGGAAGAAAAAAAGAAAUCAGAGAGUAAUCAACAGGGGAGGUCAUAAUGAUGAGCCUGGAAGAAAGGAUGUCAAUGUGAAGACGAAGGUUGUUGAAGAGAGAAAGGUCAAUCGUGUUUCAGUGGAAGAUGGAGAUUUCCUUAAGAGAAUGAAUGGUAUUUAGUAGGGGGCACUAUGGUUAAUGCGAUUUCUGCUAUUAAGGGAAGGAAGUUGGUGGACAAGCAAAUUGUUUAUUUUGUUUCCCUAAUCAAGACAUGAAACCUGCUCGCUUCUCAACAAAACGAUCUGGAGAGGUUAAGCAUUCUACAAUUUAGAUUUUACUUGUUUUCAUUGGUGGGGUUUUUUUUUUUUUUAAGAAUUUAGUCUUUAAUUGUGAUUUCAAAUUCUUAGAUUGGUCUGCUACUUAUGUAAUGGGGAAUUGUGUCAUCCCGCUUGUGAAUUCAGCCAAGAUGAAAGUUCCAGGACGUUGUGUAGCUGCACCAGAAAACCUUUCUAGGUUUAUUCUGUCUUCGAUAGUUGGAUAAAUCAACAUGGAGUUGCUGAAAAUAAAACCAUGUCAAAAUGGAGCCUAGAGGCUCCUUCAGACAUUGACUAUACAGUUUAUCCCCUCCUUGCUCUGUUGAAGUUGCCGAAAAUAUAACCAUAACAAGAGGCUGAAUUCACUCUCGAGGAACUUGAUUCUCGAAAACAUAUACUGAAUCUUCAAAGUGAUCCUGAUGAAGCGGCUGCAAUUUUACCUAUGGUGAGUAGGAGAAAGGGUACCCAGCCGAGUUGAGAACAAAACAAAGAUGAACAAACUAUAUCAGACUCAUCUCUUAUUAAGCUUCUUGUUGCAGAAGAUACUUGUAACUUGGAGGAGAUGGGAACUCCAAGCACAGUAAUGUGUGAUUUAAGGGCAUACAUAGAAACAAGUUCUCUACUGGAUAUCAGAAUCAAGAAAGGAACUGAUGUUGAGGAAGCAGCAAAAACUAUUCAUCCAUGCUGGGUUGCCUAUCGGAUAUGUUACAAGUAUGUAGUUUCCCAUAUGCCCGGAGUAUGCAGAUGACCCUGUGAUCACACCAUGUGCACACAGGAUGUGCAGGGAAUGUCUCCUCUUAAGUUGGUAAACGCCAACAACUGGGCUAUGUACAAUCUUUCGAACACUGCUAAAGGAAACUGACCUCAUAACAUGCCCAACAGAGAACAAGUUUUGGGUUGAUGUUGAGAAGAACUAGGAGGAGUCUUUCAGAGGUUUAAAGCUCCUGGAAUGCUUGGAACAUAUUCGUGGGUAAGGAUCUAGUGGGAAAGAGCAUUGUUUUUUUAGUAAGCGGUCUUCAUUUUUGGACCUAGUAGAGAUCCCAUUGAGAAGGAGAGGAGCUGGGUUCUUAAGGUUUGAUAAAAAAAAAAAACUGGCACAGAAGCAAAGGCAGAGGAGGGUUUUAAGGAGUUCAAUGAAACCAAAGAAAAAAUGAUAUGCAGUUUCCAAGCACUUGCAUCUCAGGAUUCUUAAACCUUGCUCCUUAAACAAUUAUGAUGGCUUAGCAGUUCAUCAUGGUCAACAAAGUUUCUUAACUAUCUUUCUCUUGUUGCUUGGUGAAUUUCAGGUAUUGCUGAUGCCUUAGAAAGCUGCUGGUGCGUGUAUGAAUCUAACUGCAGCCUCAAAUGUCUUUUUAAUGUUUAUUUUCAAAUCUCCUGGAUCCCACCAGGAAUCCUGCAGUAGAGGAGCAAGCAAUAAUGCGAAUCCACAGGAUUGGACAAAAACACACAGUUUCUGUUAGAAGAUUCAUUGUUAAGUGAGAAGGCACCGUGGAGCAACGCCUGCAGCGUGUCCAGGCAAGGAAGCGACGCAUGAUUGACGAAGUGCCCAUUUAGAGUUUAGAAUUGAGGUAUUCUAGCAAAUUAUUCUCUCUUUGAAGCUGAACAAAUCAAACAACAGGCCAGCAAGGAUUGAUGACGACCAGUGUAGGCCAUGCACGUGGUGGUCAAACAUUGGAGGAACAAGGCAUGGGAUAGACACGUGACCAUGAGCCCAUCAAUGGGAUAGACACGUAGCCAUUGAUGAUUGUUCGAUCAAAGCAAAGAACCACUGACAUUGUGUAGGCUGUCACAUGCGUCAUGUAACGUUAGCAUAACGCAUCUUUGUGUUGACCCUACGGACGGGUCAAAAAUAUGCUGGUGUAGGAGUUUAGAAAAGCCAGCCAGCCACAGCUUUCAAGUUAGCUGGGUCGGUUAAAGUGUAGUUGUUGUUAUCCGAGAGAUAGAAGCGUCAAGUGUCAGAAACCCAACUCAGCCUGUUCUUUUGACCACUUUACUUUGGCUCUAUGUUGCCUUUGCCUACCGGCUUGGGUUUCUUCUGUUGCUGUUGCUUCUCUCUAAACUUCGCCUGGCUCGGCUUAUUAUUUUAUUGAAGCCGCGCUUAUUUUAUUUA